rnacentral:sRNA from 1 species
CUGACAGCUCUGGAGACCUGUACUCACAGAGCUGGUAAAAGCACAUGCAGUCAUAGCAUCCCCACACUGCAUUACAACUCUGAAAGGACCAUCUUUAGAGGUGGGAAAGUAAGUUAGUUUCUGUGCCCAUUCAGUAGUUGGCAUCU